GCUCAGGACGAACGCUGGCGGCGCGCCUAACACAUGCAAGUCGAACGAGAGAUGAGGAGCUUGCUCUUCAAAUCGAGUGGCGAACGGGUGAGUAACGCGUGAGGAACCUGCCUCAAAGAGGGGGACAACAGUUGGAAACGACUGCUAAUACCGCAUAAGCCCACGGCUCGGCAUCGAGCAGAGGGAAAAGGAGCAAUCCGCUUUGAGAUGGCCUCGCGUCCGAUUAGCUAGUUGGUGAGGUAAUGGCCCACCAAGGCGACGAUCGGUAGCCGGACUGAGAGGUUGAACGGCCACAUUGGGACUGAGACACGGCCCAGACUCCUACGGGAGGCAGCAGUGGGGAAUAUUGCACAAUGGGGGAAACCCUGAUGCAGCGACGCCGCGUGGAGGAAGAAGGUCUUCGGAUUGUAAACUCCUGUUGUUGAGGAAGAUAAUGACGGUACUCAACAAGAAAGUGACGGCUAACUACGUGCCAGCAGCCGCGGUAAAACGUAGGUCACAAGCGUUGUCCGGAAUUACUGGGUGUAAAGGGAGCGCAGGCGGGAGAACAAGUUGGAAGUGAAAUCCAUGGGCUCAACCCAUGAACUGCUUUCAAAACUGUUUUUCUUGAGUAGUGCAGAGGUAGGCGGAAUUCCCGGUGUAGCGGUGGAAUGCGUAGAUAUCGGGAGGAACACCAGUGGCGAAGGCGGCCUACUGGGCACCAACUGACGCUGAGGCUCGAAAGUGUGGGUAGCAAACAGGAUUAGAUACCCUGGUAGUCCACACCGUAAACGAUGAUUACUAGGUGUUGGAGGAUUGACCCCUUCAGUGCCGCAGUUAACACAAUAAGUAAUCCACCUGGGGAGUACGACCGCAAGGUUGAAACUCAAAUGAA
rnacentral:rRNA from 1 species